UACGUAGGGGGCGAGCGUUGUCCGGAAUUAUUGGGCGUAAAGAGCGUGUAGGCGGUUCGGUAAGUCUGCCGUGAAAACCUGAGGCUCAACCUCGGGCGUGCGGUGGAUACUGCCGGGCUAGAGGACGGUAGAGGCGAGUGGAAUUCCCGGUGUAGCGGUGAAAUGCGCAGAUAUCAGGAAGAACACCUAUGGCGAAGGCAGCUCUCUGGGACGGUACUGACGCUGAGACGCGAAAGCGUGGGGAGCAAACAGG
rnacentral:rRNA from 1 species